rnacentral:rRNA from 1 species
AAUAGCGAUGGCGGGCGCUAUACAUGCAAGUCGUACGCUUCUUUUUCCACCGGAGCUUGCUCCACCGGAAAAAGAGGAGUGGCGAACGGGUGAGUAACACGUGGGUAACCUGCCCAUCAGAAGGGGAUAACACUUGGAAACAGGUGCUAAUACCGUAUAACAAUCGAAACCGCAUGGUUUUGAUUUGAAAGGCGCUUUCGGGUGUCGCUGAUGGAUGGACCCGCGGUGCAUUAGCUAGUUGGUGAGGUAACGGCUCACCAAGGCCACGAUGCAUAGCCGACCUGAGAGGGUGAUCGGCCACAUUGGGACUGAGACACGGCCCAAACUCCUACGGGAGGCAGCAGUAGGGAAUCUUCGGCAAUGGACGAAAGUCUGACCGAGCAACGCCGCGUGAGUGAAGAAGGUUUUCGGAUCGUAAAACUCUGUUGUUAGAGAAGAACAAGGAUGAGAGUAACUGUUCAUCCCUUGACGGUAUCUAACCAGAAAGCCACGGCUAACUACGUGCCAGCAGCCGCGGUAAUACGUAGGUGGCAAGCGUUGUCCGGAUUUAUUGGGCGUAAAGCGAGCGCAGGCGGUUUCUUAAGUCUGAUGUGAAAGCCCCCGGCUCAACCGGGGAGGGUCAUUGGAAACUGGGAGACUUGAGUGCAGAAGAGGAGAGUGGAAUUCCAUGUGUAGCGGUGAAAUGCGUAGAUAUAUGGAGGAACACCAGUGGCGAAGGCGGCUCUCUGGUCUGUAACUGACGCUGAGGCUCGAAAGCGUGGGGAGCAAACAGGAUUAGAUACCCUGGUAGUCCACGCCGUAAACGAUGAGUGCUAAGUGUUGGAGGGUUUCCGCCCUUCAGUGCUGCAGCUAACGCAUUAAGCACUCCGCCUGGGGAGUACGACCGCAAGGUUGAAACUCAAAGGAAUUGACGGGGGCCCGCACAAGCGGUGGAGCAUGUGGUUUAAUUCGAAGCAACGCGAGACCUUACCAGGUCUUGACAUCCUUUGACACUCUAGAGAUAGAGCUUCCCUUCGGGGCAAGUGACAGUGUGCAUGUGUCGUCAGCUCGUGUCGUGAGAUGUUGGGUAAGUCCGCACGAGCGCACCCUAUGUAGUUGCAUCAUUCAGUUGGCACUCUAGCAGACUGGCGGGUGACAACCCGGAGAAGGUGGGGAUGAACGUCAAUUCUUCUAUGGCCUUAUGACCUGGCUCUACACACGGCUCAUUGGGGAGUUACACGGAGUGUGGCGAAUUCCAGGCUGACAUAACCCUAGAGAGUU